rnacentral:rRNA from 1 species
UACGUAGGGUGCAAGCGUUAAUCGGAAUUACUGGGCGUAAAGCGUGCGCAGGCGGUUUUGUAAGUCUGACGUGAAAUCCCCGGGCUCAACCUGGGAAUUGCGUUGAAGACUGCAAGGCUAGAAUCUGGCAGAGGGGGGUAGAAUUCCACGUGUAGCAGUGAAAUGCGUAGAGAUGUGGAGGAACACCGAUGGCGAAGGCAGCCCCCUGGGUCAAGAUUGACGCUCAUACACGAAAGCGUGGGGAGCAAACAGG